UACGGAGGGUGCAAGCGUUAAUCGGAAUUACUGGGCGUAAAGCGCGCGUAGGCGGUUUUGUAAGUCGGAUGUGAAAUCCCCGGGCUUAACCUGGGAAUUGCAUUCGAUACUGCAUAACUAGAGUCUAGAAGAGGGAUGCGGAAUUCCGGGUGUAGCGGUGAAAUGCGUAGAGAUCCGGAGGAACAUCAGUGGCGAAGGCGGCAUCCUGGGCUAAGACUGACGCUGAGGUGCGAAAGUGUGGGGAGCAAACAGG
rnacentral:misc_RNA from 1 species